rnacentral:rRNA from 1 species
AUUGAACGCUGGCGGCAGGCCUAACACAUGCAAGUCGAACGGUAACAGGAAGAAGCUUGCUUCUUUGCUGACGAGUGGCGGACGGGUGAGUAAUGUCUGGGAAACUGCCUGAUGGAGGGGGAUAACCACUGGAAACGGUAGCUAAUACCGCAUAAUGUCGCAAGACCAAAGAGGGGGACCUUCGGGCCUCUUGCCAUCGGAUGUGCCCAGAUGGGAUUAGCUAGUAGGUGGGGUAACGGCUCACCUAGGCGACGAUCCCUAGCUGGUCUGAGAGGAUGACCAGCCACACUGGAACUGAGACACGGUCCAGACUCCUACGGGAGGCAGCAGUGGGGAAUAUUGCACAAUGGGCGCAAGCCUGAUGCAGCUAUGCCGCGUGUAUGAAGAAGGCCUUCGGGUUGUAAAGUACUUUCAGCGGGGAGGAAGGGAGUAAAGUUAAUACCUUUGCUCAUUGACGUUACCCGCAGAAGAAGCACCGGCUAACUCCGUG